rnacentral:lncRNA from 1 species
CUCAAAGUGUCCCCAGCUGGGCACAGUGAUGCACACCUAUAAUCCCAGCAUUCUGGGAGGCUGAGAAGUUUCUUUUACUACACUGCAGAGAAAGGACCUCCUCAAAGCACUGUGUUCUGUGAGAGACCCUGUUUCUAAGCGGCAAGUCAAGUCACAUGGAGAUGAGCUGCGCCCUGGUGGCCGAGCUCCUCUGACACGAAUUACACAUGUCAUAACCUGUGGUAGCAGCUGCAUUUAA